rnacentral:rRNA from 1 species
UACGUAGGCAGCGAGCGUUGUUCGGAGUUACUGGGCGUAAAGGGUGUGUAGGCGGUUGUUUAAGUUUGGUGUGAAAUCUCCCGGCUCAACUGGGAGGGUGCGCCGAAUACUGAAUGACUAGAGUGCGGGAGAGGAAAGUGGAAUUCCUGGUGUAGCGGUGAAAAUGCGUUAGAUAUCAGGAGGAACACCGGUGGUGUAGACGGCUUUCUGGACCGUAACUGACGCUGAGACACGAAAGCGUGGGUAGCAAACAGG